rnacentral:lncRNA from 1 species
GUGUGCUAGCCUCCUGCGCCGGCACCGCGGCCACCACGUGCUCGCCUGCUGUGAAGCCAACACCGCGGGGAAACGUAGAUGAUGAGGGGUGUAUUAGUAAAGUGGUGCGACAAAAGUGGAACUCGCAGAGCAAUUCGGGAAAAAUAAGAAAAAAGUAGACGCAAAGUAAAAGUGAUCGGAGCGAGUACUUUUUCAGACUAUGAGUUGUCCUCCCCCUCCCCNUUCCGAUCUGGCUGUCAACUCGCGCGGCUCGGCUUCAUGCAUUCGCUCGAGGGGUGGGCCGCGGGUGGUUGCUGGGUCCGAGCUCCCCUCUACUCGACGUCCUAGGUGGCGGCGCGCGUGCCAUCUCUCGGUGAGAUCUAGCUAGGCCUAGUUGGAUCUGACGCUGGCAGGGGCGCGGGUCAUGUUCGGCGUUACCUGGAAGGUUUGAGGCGACAUGGUUACUUGGCUAGGCGGCAAUGUGAUCCGGGUGGCUGGUGGCUCAGGCAGGCGACACGGAUGCGGAUCGUGGUUGUGGACGACGUCUCGCGAUGCGCAGGUAGGGGGGCUGACUUGGUUCGUGGGGGAUUACUUCGCGCUGUGCCCUUGUUGCACAUGGCCGGUUUGUGGCAUUGGUCUGAGUUGGCUCUCCGGACGUUGUCGUGUUGUGAUACGGAUCGACGCCAAUGACCACGAACAUAGUGGUGCUCGAGCAUGCUUGGUGUGGCAAGCGGUGGUCACUAGGUUGUUUCCCUACGGUCCACUCUUUAUGUGCUCGAGCAUGCUUGGUGGUGGCCAGCGGUUUUCAUCCAAUCUUUGUGGAACAUUCUUUAUGUGCGAUUGUGUACUUGUUUGAUUCUUUUUCUGUGCACUUGCACUUGUAGAAGUAUUCUGUUGUGUACAUGUAAAAUUAUUUUGAUGUGCCCUUGUUAGUCAUUAAACCUUAAUGCCUGGAGUCAGUGGAUGAUGUAUUGUAUUUGAUUUGA